CCUGCCCUAGCUGGUGUGGCUCAGUGGACUGAGUGCCAGCCUGUGAAGCAAAGAGUCACUGGUUCGAUUCCCAGUCAGGGCACAUGCCUGGGUUGCAGGCCAGGUCCCCAGGUGGGGGCGUGCGAGAGGCAACCACACAUUGAUGUCUCU